AUUGAACGCUGGCGGCAUGCCUUACACAUGCAAGUCGAACGGUAACAGGUCUUCGGAUGCCGACGAGUGGCGAACGGGUGAGUAAUACAUCGGAACGUGCCCGAGAGUGGGGGAUAACGAAGCGAAAGCUUUGCUAAUACCGCAUACGAUCUCAGGAUGAAAGCAGGGGACCGCAAGGCCUUGCGCUCACGGAGCGGCCGAUGGCAGAUUAGGUAGUUGGGGGGGUAAAGGCUUACCAGGCCUACGAUCUGUAGCUGGUCUGAGAGGACGACCAGCCACACUGGGACUGAGACACGGCCCAGACUCCUACGGGAGGCAGCAGUGGGGAAUUUUGGACAAUGGGCGCAAGCCUGAUCCAGCCAUGCCGCGUGCAGGAUGAAGGCCUUCGGGUUGUAAACUGCUUUUGUACGGAACGAAAAGCUCUGGGUUAAUACCCUGGGGUCAUGACGGUACCGUAAGAAUAAGCACCGGCUAACUACGUGCCAGCAGCCGCCGUAACAC
rnacentral:rRNA from 1 species